UACAGCCGAAACGGCUGCUAAUACCGAAUACGAUCUUUUCGUCGCAUGACGGAAAGAAGAAAAAGGAUGGCCUCUAUACAAAGCUAUCGCCGAAGGAGGGGUUUGCGUCUGAUUAGCUGGUUGGAGGGUAACGGCCAACAAGGCGAUGAUCAGUAGCCGGUCUGAGAGGAUGAACGGCCACAUUGGGACUGAGACACGGCCCAGACUCCUACGGGAGGCAACAGUGGGGAAUCUUCCGCAAUGGACGAAAGUCUGACGGAGCAACGCCGCGUGAGUGAAGAAGGUCUUCGGAUUGUAAAGCUCUGUUAUACGGGACGAAAAAGACGGAUGCCAACAGUAUCCGUCCGUGACGGUACCGUAAGAGAAAGCCACGGCUAACUACGUGCCAGCAGCCGCGGUAAAU
rnacentral:rRNA from 1 species